UACGUAGGGGGCAAGCGUUGUCCGGAAUUAUUGGGCGUAAAGCGCGCGCAGGCGGUUAUUUAAGUCUGGUGUUUAAACCUUGGGCUCAACCUGAGGUCGCACUGGAAACUGGGUAACUUGAGUACAGAAGAGGAAAGUGGAAUUCCACGUGUAGCGGUGAAAUGCGUAGAUAUGUGGGGGAACACCAGUGGCGAAGGCGACUUUCUGGGCUGUAACUGACGCUGAGGCGCGAAAGCGUGGGGAGCAAACAGG
rnacentral:rRNA from 1 species